UCGGAAAGCUACAGAGCGUAUUCUUCUUCUUCCUAUCGCAAAGCUCCAACAACGCCUUCUUCUUCUUCCUAUCGCAAAGCUCCAGUCAUCUUCUUCUUCUUCCUAUCGAACCCACAGCUCUACAAGAUGUCUUCUUCCUCAACUUCAUCAUGUAUUAGAGUAAAUAUGGAGUACGAGCCAAGUGUGUAUUGUAAUUGUGGGUUGAAAGCUCCAAUUUGCACAAGUAGAGAAUCGGGAAAGCAAUUCUUUGGGUGUCAAAGAUGGAAGGAUGGCAAUGGAUGUGUUUUUUUUCUUUGGAAGGAUCACAGUGCAUGAAGGGUUGAAGGUGAGGAUGAAGACAUAAAGAAGAUGGUGGUGUCUUUGAGGUCUGAAAUUGCAGUUGUUAAACAAUUAAUUGUAAAUGAGUAUAGUGGUAUGAAAAAAGAAAACCAAGUGUUGAGGAUCAAGUGUGUUGUUUUCCUAAUUGUAAUUGUGGUCCUUCUAGCAAAAAUCUGUAGUUAGAAAUUGUAAUGGUUUGACAUUGUAAUGAAAUUUUGGUAAAUUACAAUUUAAGUUUCCAGUUUGCAUUGU